ensembl:lncRNA novel transcript
ACAUUCUUGUGGCUCUCUUGAAAUUCUCAGGGUGACUUUUAAAAUGAUAUAUUAGGAAAAUGCUUUAAAAUUAUAAAACCACCUUAAUAAUUUUUCUCCCAAAGAAUGAAAAUGGCAAAUUAGAAAUUGUGUGUUUCAAGGAGGAUGGCAAAGGGAAAAGAUCAUUUUGGAAUGUUGAAAGUGUUCCUCUGUACCUUGAAAAAUCGGGAGAGAGAGAGAGAGAGACUGCAAGGUUUUGAUUAAGGACAUCUACUUAUGAGUUAUUUCUUUAUUCACAUUGGCCCAAUGGUUACAUAACAGUUAUCUGCUGGGACAUUUCCCAUACAUCAUACCUCUGAAAUGUGUCUAUAGGCAUUUGAAGCCCAUGCCUCCCAACGUUGCAUUGUCUCCUUAGUUAAAUUCAAGGACUACUUUGUGAUAAUUGCUAAUUCCUGAGUGGUAACUUCUAGUGUAUUAGUUCAAACUGAAAGAUCUUACAGAUCUUUUUGCAUAACAUUGGUCAAAGCAUCAUAAACAAGUUUUAAAGGAAGAAAAAAGACUUCAGUGGUGAAAGGAAAAAAUAAUGACAAAGCUGUUUCCUGUGAGGGUACAUGUGCAUAUUUCUGAGUGCUAACAUACAGGUACAUAAAGCAGGG